ACCAGUGCUUUUUUUUUUUUUGCAAGUGGGUUGGCCUGAUGCAUGGUAAAUAUUUAAAACCAAGAAUCAUUAACCCAGACCUCUGCCACAGAUUUCAAGUAGUCCCAAUUUUGGAACUGUCCCUCUGGAAACAGGAAAGAGGGGCUCCCUUACUCAGCUUUAAGAAUAGCCUAUAUGGAAAAUGCGUUGUGGCAGAACAAGCAAGCCACUGAUAAAACACACGCAGACGAAACUUGGGGCCAAACCCAACUCCAGUUGUCAGGAGUCAGAUAGCUGGUAUUUACUGAGCAUCUACCCUGUGCCAGGCACCAUGCUAAGCACCGGAGGUACAAAGAAAUGCAAAAGGCAGUCGGUGCUCUAAAAGAGCUCACAGUCUACCUGGGGAGACACCAGGCUCUCUGGAGGAUCCACUGGAGCUGGUCUUAGAGGGAAGGCACAAGCCUUAAGGAGGACUGGGAAAGACUUCUGGUAGAACGUGGAUGUUAGAGAGGACUUGAAGAAAGCCGGGAGGCACACGAGGAAGGACAGAAUUCCAAACACGGGGCACAGCCAGUGAAAAUGUCUGCAGUUGAGGGAAGGGGUGUCAGUCUAACUAAGGGAAGCUCGGGGGAGCACGAGGACAGGAAUUGGGUAGAAGACGGGACGGUAGAGGGGCACGUUAUGAAAGAGUCUGAAUGACAGAAGAUUUUAUAUUCGAUCCUGAAAGCAAGAGGAGUCCCAGGAGUUUACUGAGUGGGAAGCGGACCUGCUCGUGUCCCUAAAUUUAGGAUUAGGAUGGAGGAGGAAGAAACUUAAGGCAGGCAGGUCUAUGGCAAGGCAGGAGGUGAUGGAGUGGCGCCAGUGUCAGAGGAAAGAAGGAAUGGCCUACAAGAGUCGUUACAGAAGGUCUAACAUGCUAUCCUGGGAGCAUUCAAGAGAAGAGGGAGAUGUACAAUGUCAAAAGCUGCAGAGAUCAAAAAGGAUGAGGACUGAGAAAAGCACAUGAGACGGAGCAGUUAAGAACUCGCUAGUAACUUUGAAGAGAACAAUUCCAGGUCAGUUGCUUUUUUCAAUGAAAUAUGUAAGAGAAGAAUAUGCAAAAGAGAGGAAGAUGCAAAAGAAGGAAAUCUGAUCCAGUGAAGCAAGAAGCAGCCCAGGUUGGGAAGUGGCAAAAAGGAAGAGACCCAGGAUUCCAGAGGCUGAGUUGAACUGGAAACUGCCACUUCAAUUCCCACUCCUUCAGCUAAGAGCCUGACAAGAAUAUCUUGGAGGCUGGAGUUUCCCCCCUGGCCACCAACUGCUUCCUAGUGAUCCCUGGAAAUCUUUUGCUCACCUCAACACAGUUGACUGGACUUUGGAAAAAGCCAUCUACUGAGGAAAUUCUUUCCAAGGAUUUUCUCUACCUCUCUCUCCCCAAUCUGUCCUGAACUCCAUCAAUUAACCAGAUUAGUUCAGGAGUAGGGACAAAUCAGUAGCUUACCAGAAAAGGGGCCAAGGCUGAGAGCCUGGACCCCGAAGAGUUGGGGGGGGUCAGUCUGCCAGUCAUUAGAGAUUCCUGCCACCCACUUUCCUUACCAGAACCAACAAUUUUCCCUUCCCUGAGUGAUUCUCUAUUAAAGUGUUACUAUCUAGAUCAGGUCUGCCUACUUUCUGACACCAAAGAAGGGUACUGAAGAUUUGGGGAGAACCACAUCUCUCCCCAAAGAAGGAGAAUUAGCUCAAGACCAGGACUGAGAUAUGAACUCAGAUCUCAAAGGGGAAAGUGGCAAUUGGGGUAUUGGGAGGAUCCAGAGACAGGAAAUCUAUCCUACCUCUCAACAACAGCUAAGAUCAAGAAGGGUGGCAGUGGGUCAUUUCUCUUAAACCCUCUCCUCCAGUCCCUAACCUCCACCUCCCAAACCCAAUCUCUGCUCUUGGGCUCACAUCCACACUGAAAGCUCAGACUGGGGCUCCUAACUAUGCUUUGGGUUCCUGCUGGGAUUCUGCACCUUACUGAAGGCUUGGGCUAGGCUUGGGAUUUCAGGGGGUGUACAUGAGAUUGUAACUGUGGGUUUUAAAAUGUUGUGGCCAGAUGGAACUGCAUUCCCUUCCCUGCCCCUCUGAAUGCUUCAGGGGUUCCUCCCUACUACUUCCUGGUGUGGGAUUGGUUUUGAAUGGACCAAUCCCAUACUGGGAGAGGGACCAUGUCCCCUACUUCUGGGCACAGGAUUGGUCUAUAUAAGGACCAAUCCCACACCUAGAAAAAAACUUGUUGAAUCUGAGAAGAUUCAGAGUAGUAAGGUUUUUCAAUUAAUUUCAGCUAGGAAACUCCAGUGGGUUUUUUCUUUUAAUAACGUUUUAAAAAGAUCAAAGAGAGAGUUUUCUUUCACCUCUUUCAUACCACUCACUGUUGGCUUAGCAAAGUCUGAGGGGCUGGAUGUUGGUUUAGUCUCAGAUUCAGAACCUAGAACUAUAGAUGUGGUGUCAGGGAGCUUGCUGUUGGCUUGUACCAGUACUCCUUGGUUUAGCCUCCUGUGGGCUAUGCUCCCCAUGGACCCCAAUGAACCAGAUCCUCUCUGUCUACCUUUCAAAUUGUUCUCUGCAUGAAAGUUGCUUCAUUGGGGAAAGGGGAAGAAGAAAGGAAAUGUCACCUUAUAUUGAUUCCCCUAUUAGCUGAAAAUUGGUUCCUUCUUCCAAGACCCCAACUAAUACAGUUCUUUCACUUCAGUAUUCAUUUUGCUGUGUUAUUUUCAGGUUAGAUGGAAAGGAUUCUCAUUGUGGUUCAAGUCUUUCCUGCUUCUACUCUGUCAUCUUAUUGUCUUUCAAAACCUUAAUCUCUAUCUAGUGGUUCUUUUUCUACUAGCUGCAAACAUGCCCAUGACUCUACCAUCCACCUCACUUAAUCUGACUGUUUCUUUUAAUUAUGACAUGGCAAUUAUCCUAUAUCUUUCCUUUCUCUCUCGGCUAAAUUCCUUAAAAAACCUGUCUGCCCUAGGUGCCUCCAUUUCUCCUUUGCUCACUUCAUUCAACAGAAACUGCUUUCUCCAUAGAUAUCAAUGAUCUUUUAAUUUCCUAAUCUAAUGGUCUUUUCUCAAUCCUCAUUUUUUUUACCUCUCUUCUAAAUUUGACACUGUCAAUCAUCCACUUUCUUGGAUACUUUCCCCCCUAGAUUUUUAUGACACUAAUUUUUCCUGGUUCUUAUCCUACUGGUCUGAUCACUUCUUUUCAGUUUCCUUUGCCAGAUCUUCAUCCAGGUCAUAUCUACUAACUAUAGAUGCCCCCAAAGUCUCUCUUCUAGGCUAUCUUCUCUUCUCUUCUUAUGCUAUCUCCUCUGGUGAUCUUGUCAGUUCCCAAGGUCCCAAGGUUAACAAUGAUAAGAAAAGUUAUAAUUUCUGUUGAUUACUGCAAUACCCUUCUAAUUGCCCUCCCUGCCUCAAGUCCCUACUCUAACCCAUCUUCUAAGACUAAGCUGCCCAUGAUACAGCAAAAGUACAGGUCUAACCAUGUCACCCUAUUCCCUCACCCCAAUUCAAUAUUCUCCAGUGAAGGAUGACUGAAAAAAAUAGUUUAUUAAGCACUUACUAUAUGGAAAACAUUUCCCCAAGUGCUGGGGAAACAAAUACAAAAGCAGGAGAGUUCCUGCUCUUAAAGAACUCAAAUUCUAAUGGGAGAGAACACAUAGAGAGGUUGCUUGGCAAGUCAGAAGCAAAGGUUCCAUGAUUCCAUCAGCAAAGUAUAUAGUAAAAGAUCUUUAAAUUUUUUUUUUAAUUUUUCCCUACAUGUAAAAACAGUUUCCAAUUUUUGAUUUUUUUCUAUUAAAUUUUUUAUUUUUAAAUUUUUUCCAUGAUCCCACGAUUCAUGUUUUCUCCCUCCCCACAUCCCUCCCCACUCUUGGAGUAGACAAGAAAUUCCAUUGGGUUAUACAUAUAUAUGUAUAUAUAUAAUCACUCAAAUAUUAUUCAUUUUUGUAAAAGGAUAAUCCUUUAAAACCAAAACCCCAAAACCCCAAAUCACAUACCUAUAUAAACAAGUGAUGUCAUAUGUUUUAUUCUGAAUUUCUAUUCCCACUGCUCUUUCUCCAACAUUUUAAAAAGAUUUUUGAGUCUCAAAUUCUUUCCCUCCCUUCCCUCACCCCCCCCCCCAGGGAAGCAGUCUCAUAUAGAUUUUACAUGUGCAAUUAUGUAAAACAUUUUCCCAUAUUAAUCUUUUUGUAGAAUGAAACUUGAACUAGUAAAAAAAUUAAAGUUAAAAAAGUUUGCUUUGGUUUAGAUUCAGACUUCAGCAAUUCCUUCACUGGAAGCAGAUGGCAUCCUUUAUCACGAGUCCUUUGGGAUUGUUUUGGAUGACUUUAUUGCUGAGAAUAGCAUGAUGAGAAUAGCUAAGUUAUUCACGGUUAUUCAUUGCACCGUAUUCCUGUCAUGGUGUACAAUGUUCUCCUGGUUCUGCUCAGUUCACUCUGCUUCAGUUCGUGUAAGAUGUUCCAAAUUUCUAUGAGCUCCUCCUGCUUCUCAUUUCUUAUAGCAUAAUAGUAUUUCAUUACAAUCAUAUACUAUAACUUACUCAGCAAUUCCCCCAUUGAUGGGGAUCCUCUCAUUUUUAAUAAUAGAUUCUUUAAUGUCAUUUCUUCUGAUAAAAUCAUAUCUUUUUCUGAUAUUGGAUUGUUUGAAAUGGCACAGAUUUUGGUACUAAGAACUUUCUUUUCAAGGUCUUCAGGUCAUGUGGUUGCUAAGGCACCAGUGGAAGGAGUUGUCAGGCUGCAUCUCGGCAGGGUUCACUCCCCAAGAUGAUGGCUACAAGGACUGGACUGGAAGCAAGAGUCAUUUCAGAGGUUCUCUAGCCCUAACGACUUUUGCACUUCUCUGUCCAGCAGCAGAGAUUGUUGAGGAAGACCGGCCUUUUUUCCACAGUGAUUGAUUGCUCCCCUUAGUGAUGACUAUGGGAUCCAAGUUGGAUGCAAGAUACUGUUAUUUUCAAAACUUUGGGGUUUAGGAUCUUGAUGUGUCUCCUUUGAGCUGUAAGGUAAGGGGAAGCAGCUGUCCAGGCGGUGGUGGUGGUUUUGCUUGUCUGGCAUAUGGUGCUUCCUUAUAUCUCAAAGGAAAUAAGCCAAAAUCCUCCAUACACUAUAAUCCAGCUACUUUGGCCUAUUUGCUGUUCCUCAAAAAAGGACAUUCUGUUUCUUCCAUCUACAGUCUUUGUAGCUCCCUACUGAAAUAUUCCCCACUCCUAAAAUAUUCUCUCUUCCCAACCCUGCCUUCUGCCUGCCCUGGGUUUCUUCAAAAUUCAGUUGAGGGGGCAGCUGGGUAGCUCAGUGGAUGGAGAGCCAGGCCUAGAUACGGGAUGUCCUAGGUUCAAAUCUGACCUCAGACACUUCCCAGCUGUGUGACCCUGGGCAAGUCACUUAACCCCCAUUGCCCAGCCCUUACCACUUUUCUGCCUUGGAACCAAUAAAUACACAAUAUUGGCUCCAAGAUGGAAGGUAAGGGUUUAAAAAAACAAACUCAGUUGAACUGUUUUAUAAGUAUAUAGUUAUUUGUAUGUUGCCUCCCCAUUAGAAUUUGAACUUCUUCAGGGCAAGGAAAUCUUUAUUUGCACAAGGUAAACUUAAUGUUUGUUGACCAAAUGAUAUCUGGCCCAAUAGCAAAAAAGCAAAAGAUUUUUAUAAUCAAAUGCAGUUCACUGAAAAUCUUUUAUUUUUUAAUGGUGUCUUAGCAUUUUACAUUUAAACAAGUAAACAAACAAUAUCUAGUAGUGUAUUUAACCCUUUAGGUUCUCAAAGGCAAGGUCAACAAAGCAUAAACUCUCAUAGGUUCUAUAAAGUUAUAAAUUACAUCAAGAAUAUCCAGUCAUGAGGAUGCCAUGUCUGUUGACUGAUCAUUAAUAAAGCUAAUUUCAGGAAGAUUCAUCACUUACUUGGCCAUGGUAAUGAAUUUUUAGCUUCUAAUGAUUCUUAAAGACCUCCUACUAAAUUAAAUCGUAAUAGCCUGCAUUACUGAUAGAAGUACCCACACGGACAAAUCACACAUUCUGUAAGUCUCAUAGUAAAUAUUCUGAGUCACACUCUGAUAUAUAGAUUGAAUUAGUUAAUAUUAGAGGAGUAAGAUAGGAAAUUAAAAAAAAAAAGAUGAGAUACUAACAUUAACCCUGCAUUUUUUAGGGCAAACUCUGGAUCUGUCAUUAGAACAGCUGUGCUAUUAUCAAAGAGAAACAACAACAGGGUGAAGAUUUUUUUUUUUUAGUUAAACUACUUGGGAGAUGACUACUGCAGCUUUGAUUUCUUAAUGAAUUUUGGAAAAAGGCUGUCAUGUCAUGCCACCCAGGAGAUCAUGUAGCUACUUUAUCAUUAUGGGGAAAGAAGGAAGGGGAAGAUAGAUGAACAAAAGUCAAGCUGAGAUCACAAUUCCUCAAGAAAGUGUUAAGGCUUCUGCUAGGCUUAGAAUCCAUUAAAUAAUUGUCUCUUACCAUCUAUAUAUCUGUACAUGUGGCAGUAUUUUUAACAUAUCACAAUUUUUUCUUCUGACUAUUAAUCGUUUUUUUUAAAAAAAGGUUACACAGUGCUUGGUUCACUCUGUUUAAGAAAGUAUGGUGAAUUUUAGAAAGGUUCUCAUACAAAAAUUUAAAACCUUAGUUAAAUUAGUGUUAAGUGUUAAAUGGAACUCCCUGGCACCUAACCUCAGGGAGAACACAAAUAGUGAGUUGAAGUCAGUGACAGUAGAUAAGAGACACUUCUCAAACCCCAAAGCUGUCCCAGAGAUCCCAGAGGGAAAUAGCUAACCUCACUCUGAGAACCAAAGCACACUGACUACAUAGAGGCAUGGAAAAAAUUUUAUGAAUUAAUGCAAAGUGAAGCAGAACCAAGCAGAACCAAGAAAACAAUAUACAAAAUGACUGCAACAACAUAAAUGGAAAGAACUUCAAACAAUUAAAAAUGAGUGGUGCAAAAUUACAAAGAAUGAGAACUGCCCCAAUGAAGAAAUUUUGGAUUCAAAUCUGACUUCAGACCCUUCCUCGCUAUGUGACCUUGGGCAUGUCCCUUAACCUCCACUGCCUAGCCCUUACUAGUCUUCUGCCUUGGAACUGAUAUUUAGUAUUGAUUCUAAGACAGAAGGUUAAGGUUAAAAAAAAAUCCAAGUGGUUUAGAUAGACAAAUAUAAUGAUAAAAUUAUUUUAGAGUACAAAGGAAUUUUAAAAAUUAUUUAGUCUAAUCCAUGGCAAACCUGUUAAGUAAAAUGCUCUCAGGUUUUUUA